GAGUUUGAUCAUGGCUCAGGAUGAACGCUAGCGGCGGGCAUAAUACAUGCAAGUCGAACGGGAUAAGUUGUAGCAAUACGACUUUGAGAGUGGCGCACGGGUGCGUAACACGUAUGCAACUUGCCCUUAACAGGGGGAUAGCUUUCGGAAACGAAAAUUAAUACCCCAUAUUAUUACUUAUAUGCAUGUAUGAGUAAUGAAAGCUACGGCGGUUAAGGAUGGGCAUGCGGCUGAUUAGCUAGUUGGCGAGGUAAAGGCUCACCAAGGCGACGAUCAGUAGGGGGUCUGAGAGGAUGUCCCCCCACACUGGUACUGAGACACGGACCAGACUCCUACGGGAGGCAGCAGUAGGGAAUAUUGGUCAAUGGAGGCAACUCUGAACCAGCCACGUCGCGUGCAGGAUGAAGGCCCUCUGGGUUGUAAACUGCUUUUGUUAGGGAAAAAACCCCUCGAUGCGUUGAGGGUUGAUGGUACCUAAAGAAUAAGGAUCGGCUAACUCCGUGCCAGCAGCCGCGGUA
rnacentral:rRNA from 1 species